AGGAGGAACAGCCCCAGUGGCGGGGCAGCUCUGGAAACCUGGAUUCAGCCCCCGCAGGAACUCCGGAGCUCUCCGUCUGCAGCGGCUGGAGGCUCCGGGGCGGG
rnacentral:pre_miRNA from 1 species